rnacentral:lncRNA from 7 species
ACAUCAGGUGAGACUAGAGUAGACUAAACACGGCGCGCGGCCGGGUCGCGCUACCAUGCUUGCCGCCGUGCAGCCGCCGGCGGCCUCCGCCGUCAUCAAUCUUGCUCAUGCUCGGCAGGCAGCCACAUAAGAAGGGAAGGAGAAGGAGGGACAUGGCGGAGAAGGAAGCACCACGGUCCUUUCUCGCUCGCCUUCCUCCUCUAGAUCGUUCAGCGGACAUUGGAAAUGAAGAGAAGCAGCGCUGCGUCGUCAUCACGCAUCAUGCAGAUCCAGUCCUCACAGCCCCCCUGCUGAUCCAGUACAGAAUGGCGUGAGUAACAAACAGCGCUAGCACUACUACUACUACCACGGUACCACCGUUACCAAAGAGAGAGAACUGAAUUCUGACCUCAACUCAGUCGUCGUCCGCGCUCCUCAUCACACUCUCCAUGCUCCCGCUUAAUUACCGACAUACUCUUCCUGCAUGGACCAACUGCCAAGCUGAAUCUGACUCUUAAGCUCUCAGCGUUCUUUGCGUUCACCGCCCUCACAUCUGCCACAUGCUUCAUGUUCCACACCUUAAAGAUGAAGGCCGUCGUCACUAGUACAGAGAAGUUCUAUAGUGGCGGUUGUAAACCUAUUUAUAGUGGCGUUUUUCGUAACCGCCAGUGCUAGGGGCCAGUAGAAAUCAUCAUUUUUACUGGCGGUCGACGUAAUAAAACCGCCAGUGCAAAUCGUUUCUAGGAAACAUAAAACAUAUUUUAAAAAUAGUUAAAAAAUUUAUUUUUAUUAGGCC